rnacentral:rRNA from 1 species
GGAUCCAGACUUUGAUUCUGGCUCAGGAUGAACGCUAGCUACAGGCUUAACACAUGCAAGUCGAGGGGAAACGAUAGAGAAAGCUUGCUUUUUCUAGGCGUCGACCGGCGCACGGGUGAGUAACGCGUAUCCAACCUGCCCAUCACUUGGGGAUAACCUUGCGAAAGUAAGACUAAUACCCAAUGACGUCUCUAGAAGACAUCUGAAAGAGAUUAAAGAUUUAUCGGUGAUGGAUGGGGAUGCGUCUGAUUAGCUUGUUGGCGGGGUAACGGCCCACCAAGGCGACGAUCAGUAGGGGUUCUGAGAGGAAGGUCCCCCACAUUGGAACUGAGACACGGUCCAAACUCCUACGGGAGGCAGCAGUGAGGAAUAUUGGUCAAUGGGCGAGAGCCUGAACCAGCCAAGUAGCGUGCAGGAUGACGGCCCUAUGGGUUGUAAACUGCUUUUAUAAGGGAAUAAAGUGAGUCUCGUGAGACUUUUUGCAUGUACCUUAUGAAUAAGGACCGGCUAAUUCCGUGCCAGCAGCCGCGGUAAUACGGAAGGUCCGGGCGUUAUCCGGAUUUAUUGGGUUUAAAGGGAGCGUAGGCCGGAGAUUAAGCGUGUUGUGAAAUGUAGGCGCUCAACGUCUGCACUGCAGCGCGAACUGGUUUCCUUGAGUACGCACAAAGUGGGCGGAAUUCGUGGUGUAGCGGUGAAAUGCUUAGAUAUCACGAAGAACUCCGAUUGCGAAGGCAGCUCACUGGAGCGCAACUGACGCUGAAGCUCGAAAGUGCGGGUAUCGAACAGGAUUAGAUACCCUGGUAGUCCGCACGGUGAACGAUGGAUGCCCGCUGUUGGUCUGAAUAGGUCAGCGGCCAAGCGAAAGCAUUAAGCAUCCCACCUGGGGAGUACGCCGGCAACGGUGCAACUCAAA